rnacentral:tRNA from 1 species
UCGUGCAGUGGAUCAUCCGGCUCGGGUUCCUCGUCGUUGCUGUCGGCGUUGCACCGAUCGCCCUGGCGUUGCACGGG